UACGAAGGGGGCUAGCGUUGCUCGGAAUCACUGGGCGUAAAGCGCACGUAGGCGGAUCUUUAAGUCAGGGGUAAAAUCCUGGAGUUCAACUCCAGAACUGCCUUUGAUACUGGAGAUCUCGAGUCCGGAAGAGGUGAGUGGAACUCCGAGUGUAGAGGUGAAAUUCGUAGAUAUUCGGAAGAACACCAGUGGCGAAGGCGGCUCACUGGACCGGUAUUGACGCUGAGGUGCGAAAGCGUGGGGAGCAAACAGG
rnacentral:rRNA from 1 species